rnacentral:rRNA from 1 species
UGCCAGCCGCCGCGGUAAUACGUAGGCAGCAAGCGUUGUUCGGAAUUACUGGGCGUAAAGCGAGUGUAGGCGGUCUGCCAAGUCUGUUGUGAAAUCUCCUGGCUCAACCGGGAGGGUGCGGCGGAAACUGGCAGGCUAGAGUGCGAGAGGGGAGAGUGGAAUUCCUGGUGUAGCGGUGAAAUGCGUAGAUAUCAGGAGGAACACCGGUGGUGAAGACGGCUCUCUGGAUCGCCACUGACGCUGAGACUCGAAAGCGUGGGGAGCAAACAGGAUUAGAUA